GAUGAACGCUAGCGGCAGGCUUAAUACAUGCAAGUCGAGGGGCAGCGGGAGUAGCAAUACUUGCCGGCGACCGGCGCACGGGUGCGUAACACGUAUGUAAUCUGCCCAUCACAGGAGGAUAGCCCGGAGAAAUUUCGGAUUAAUACUCCAUAAUAGAAGAUAAAGCAUUUUAUUUCUUGAAAGUUCCGACGGUGAUGGAUGAACAUGCGACUGAUUAGUUUGUUGGUGAGGUAACGGCUCACCAAGACUACGAUCAGUAGGGGUACUGAGAGGUUAAACCCCCACACUGGGUACUGAGACACGGACCAGACUCCUACGGGAGGCAGCAGUAAGGAAUAUUGGACAAUGGCCGCAAGGCUGAUCCAGCCAUGCCGCGUGCAGGAAGACGGACCU
rnacentral:rRNA from 1 species